rnacentral:rRNA from 1 species
UACGUAGGGGGCAAGCGUUGUCCGGAUUUAUUGGGCGUAAAGAGCGUGUAGGCGGCUUUACAGGUCCGUUGUGAAAACUCGAGGCUCAACCUCGAGACGCCGGUGGAAACCGUAAGGCUAGAGUCCGGAAGAGGAGAGUGGAAUUCCUGGUGUAGCGGUGGAAUGCGCAGAUAUCAGGAAGAACACCAACGGCGAAGGCAGCUCGCUGGGACGGUACUGACGCUGAGACGCGAAAGCGUGGGGAGCGAACAGG